rnacentral:lncRNA from 1 species
ACGUGACCGGCACGCGCGCCCAGGAAGACUACGGCAGCCCCUUGAUCCAGCAAUCCGACCCCGAGUCGGACAUCUUCGGCUCCGCAGCCCGACCCCGAGUCGGCAGCCCCUUGAUCCAGCAAUCCGACCCCGAGUCGGACAUCUUCGGCUCCGCAGCCCGACCCUGAGUCGGACAUCUCUCGACAACGACAGGCUAUUCCCCAGAGGCACGCCGCAGCCUCCUGCUCCACUACUCCCUGCAACGGUUGUAUCUGGCGCUGCUCCACGAUCCCCUGUAACAGCCGUACAAGGCGGAGCUCCACUAUGCCCUGUCAUGGCCGUACCCAACGCUGCCCCACGACGCCCUGUAACGGCCGUGUCAGUGGCAGCUCCAUCGUGCCCCACGAUGACGAACCCCCCUGAAA